rnacentral:rRNA from 3 species
UUAAGUUAUUAAGGGCGCACGGUGGAUGCCUUGGCACUAGAAGCCGACGAAGGACGUUACUAACGACGAUAUGCUUUGGGGAGCUGUAAGUAAGCUUUGAUCCAGAGAUUUCCGAAUGGGGAAACCCAGCACGAGUUAUGUCGUGUUAUCGAUAUGUGAAUACAUAGCAUAUCUGAAGGCAGACGCGGAGAACUGAAACAUCUUAGUACCCGCAGGAAGAGAAAGAAAAAUCGAUUCCCUGAGUAGCGGCGAGCGAAACGGGAAGAGCCCAAACCAAUGAGCUUGCUUGUUGGGGUUGUAGGACACUCUAUACGGAGUUACAAAAGAACAGACUAGACGAAUCAUCUGGAAAGAUGAAUCAAAGAAGGUAAUAAUCCUGUAGUCGAAAGUUUGUUCACUCUUGAGUGGAUCCUGAGUACGACGGAACACGAGAAAUUCCGUCGGAAUCUGGGAGGACCAUCUCCCAAGGCUAAAUACUCUCUAGUGACCGAUAGUGAACCAGUACCGUGAGGGAAAGGUGAAAAGUACCCCGGAAGGGGAGUGAAAUAGAACUUGAAACCGUGUGCUUACAAGUAGUCAGAGCCCGUUAAUGGGUGAUGGCGUGCCUUUUGUAGAAUGAACCGGCGAGUUACGAUUUGAUGCAAGGUUAAGCAGUGAAUGUGGAGCCGUAGCGAAAGCGAGUCUGAAUAGGGCGUUGAGUAUUUGGUCGUAGACCCGAAACCAGGUGAUCUACCCAUGACCAGGUUGAAGUUCAGGUAACACUGAAUGGAGGACCGAACCGACUUACGUUGAAAAGUGAGCGGAUGAGUUGUGGGUAGCGGAGAAAUUCCAAUCGAACCUGGAGAUAGCUGGUUCUCUCCGAAAUAGCUUUAGGGCUAGCCUCAAGUGAUGAUUAUUGGAGGUAGAGCACUGUUUGGACGAGGGGCCCUUAUCGGGUUACCGAAUUCAGACAAACUCCGAAUGCCAAUCAAUUUAACUUGGGAGUCAGAACGCGGGUGAUAAGGUCCGUGUUCGAAAGGGAAACAGCCCAGACCACCAGCUAAGGUCCCAAAAUAUAUGUUAAGUGGAAAAGGAUGUGGCGUUGCCCAGACAACUAGGAUGUUGGCUUAGAAGCAGCCAUCAUUUAAAGAGUGCGUAAUAGCUCACUAGUCGAGUGACACUGCGCCGAAAAUGUACCGGGGCUAAACAUAUUACCGAAGCUGUGGAUUGUCCGUAAGGACAAUGGUAGGAGAGCGUUCUAAGGGCGUUGAAGCAUGAUCGCAAGGACAUGUGGAGCGCUUAGAAGUGAGAAUGCCGGUGUGAGUAGCGAAAGACGGGUGAGAAUCCCGUCCACCGAUUGACUAAGGUUUCCAGAGGAAGGCUCGUCCGCUCUGGGUUAGUCGGGUCCUAAGCUGAGGCCGAUAGGCGUAGGCGAUGGAUAACAGGUUGAUAUUCCUGUACCACCAUUAUUCGUUUUAAGCGAUGGGGGGACGCAGUAGGAUAGGCGAAGCGUACGAUUGGAUUGUACGUCCAAGCAGUGAGAUUGAGUGUUAGGCAAAUCCGGCACUCUUAAGAUUGAGCUGUGAUGGGGAGAGGAAAUUGUUUCCUCGAGUCGUUGAUUUCACACUGCCAAGAAAAGCCUCUAGCUAGAAUUGUGGUGCCCGUACCGCAAACCGACACAGGUAGUCAAGAUGAGAAUUCUAAGGUGAGCGAGCGAACUCUCGUUAAGGAACUCGGCAAAAUGACCCCGUAACUUCGGGAGAAGGGGUGCUCUUUAGGGUUAACGCCCAGGAGAGCCGCAGUGAAUAGGCCCAAGCGACUGUUUAUCAAAAACACAGGUCUCUGCUAAACCGUAAGGUGAUGUAUAGGGGCUGACGCCUGCCCGGUGCUGGAAGGUUAAGAGGAGUGGUUAGCUUCUGCGAAGCUACGAAUCGAAGCCCCAGUAAACGGCGGCCGUAACUAUAACGGUCCUAAGGUAGCGAAAUUCCUUGUCGGGUAAGUUCCGACCCGCACGAAAGGCGUAACGAUUUGGGCACUGUCUCAACGAGAGACUCGGUGAAAUCAUAGUACCUGUGAAGAUGCAGGUUACCCGCGACAGGACGGAAAGACCCCGUGGAGCUUUACUGUAGUCUGAUAUUGAAAUUCGGCACAGCUUGUACAGGAUAGGUAGGAGCCUGAGAUACGUGAGCGCUAGCUUACGUGGAGGCGUUGGUGGGAUACUACCCUCGCUGUGUUGGAUUUCUAACCCGCACCAUUUAUCAUGGUGGGAGACAGUGUCAGAUGGGCAGUUUGACUGGGGCGGUCGCCUCCUAAAGAGUAACGGAGGCGCUCAAAGGUUUCCUCAGAAUGGUUGGAAAUCAUUCAUAGAGUGUAAAGGCAUAAGGAAGCUUGACUGCGAGACUUACAAGUCGAGCAGGGUCGAAAGACGGACUUAGUGAUCCGGUGGUUCCGCAUGGAAGGGCCAUCGCUCAACGGAUAAAAGCUACCCCGGGGAUAACAGGCUUAUCUCCCCCAAGAGUUCACAUCGACGGGGAGGUUUGGCACCUCGAUGUCGGCUCAUCGCAUCCUGGGGCUGUAGUCGGUCCCAAGGGUUGGGCUGUUCGCCCAUUAAAGCGGUACGCGAGCUGGGUUCAGAACGUCGUGAGACAGUUCGGUCCCUAUCCGUCGUGGGCGUAGGAAAUUUGAGAGGAGCUGUCCUUAGUACGAGAGGACCGGGAUGGACAUACCUCUGGUGUACCAGUUGUCGUGCCAACGGCAUCGCUGGGUAGCUAUGUAUGGACGGGAUAAGUGCUGAAAGCAUCUAAGCAUGAAGCCCCCCUCAAGAUGAGAUUUCCCAACUUCGGUUAUAAGAUCCCUCAAAGAUGAUGAGGUUAAUAGGUUCGAGGUGGAAGCAUAGCGAUAUGUGCAGCUGACGAAUACUAAUCGAUCGAAGACUUAAUCAA